UGCCAGCAGCCGCGGUAAUACGAAGGGAACUAGCGUUGUUCGGAUUUACUGGGCGUAAAGAGCAUGUAGGCGGAUUGGACAGUUGGAGGUGAAAUCCCGGAGCUCAACUCCGGAACUGCCUUCAAUACUUCCAGUCUAGAAUCUGUAAGGGGGUGGUGGAAUUCCGAGUGUAGAGGUGAAAUGCGUAGAUAUCGGAAGGAACACCGGUGGCGAAGGCGACUUCCUGGGCCAAUACUGACGCUGAGGCGCGAAAGCGUGGGUAGCAAACAGGAUUAGAUA
rnacentral:rRNA from 1 species